AUAUUGGACAAUAAAGAAUAGUUUUACAUGCCUAGGGCAACAUUUGGUACAUGUAAUGGUACCACCAGAGCUUUUCUUUAGACUUCUUGCUGACCAGCCCAGAGUAAUCGAAUAAGUUUCAUCAUUCCUUCCUUUUUAGAAGCUAUGGAGAUAUUUUGCAUAGAAUGAAGGAUCUCUGCAGAUACAUGAACAACUUUGAUAGUGAAGCACAUGCAAAAUAUAAAAACCAAGUGGUGUAUUCCACCAUGCUGGUCUUCUUUAAGAAUGCAUUCCAGUAUGUCAACAGCAUACAGCCAUCUCUCUUCCAAGGUCCUAAUGCCCCGAGCCAAGUUCCACUGGUUCUUCUUGAAGAUGUAUCGAAUGUGUAUGGUGAUGUAGAAAUUGAUCGUAAUAAACACAUCCAUAAAAAGAGGAAACUAGCUGAAGGAAGAGAAAAAACCAUGAGUUCAGAUGAUGAAGACUGUUCGGCGAAAGGAAGAAAUCGUCACAUUGUAGUCAAUAAAGCCGAACUUGCUAACUCCAUUGAAGUGUUAGAAAGCUUUAAAUUGGCCAGGGAGAGCUGGG
rnacentral:sRNA from 1 species